rnacentral:rRNA from 1 species
UACACAUGCAAGUCGAGCGGUAGCACAGAGAGCUUGCUCUCGGGUGACGAGCGGCGGACGGGUGAGUAAUGUCUGGGAAACUGCCUGAUGGAGGGGGAUAACUACUGGAAACGGUAGCUAAUACCGCAUAACGUCGCAAGACCAAAGUGGGGGACCUUCGGGCCUCAUGCCAUCAGAUGUGCCCAGAUGGGAUUAGCUAGUAGGUGGGGUAACGGCUCACCUAGGCGACGAUCCCUAGCUGGUCUGAGAGGAUGACCAGCCACACUGGAACUGAGACACGGUCCAGACUCCUACGGGAGGCAGCAGUGGGGAAUAUUGCACAAUGGGCGCAAGCCUGAUGCAGCCAUGCCGCGUGUGUGAAGAAGGCCUUCGGGUUGUAAAGCACUUUCAGCGGGGAGGAAGGCGUUAAGGUUAAUAACCUUGUCGAUUGACGUUACCCGCAGAAGAAGCACCGGCUAACUCCGUGCCAGCAGCCGCGGUAAUACGGAGGGUGCAAGCGUUAAUCGGAAUUACUGGGCGUAAAGCGCACGCAGGCGGUCUGUCAAGUCGGAUGUGAAAUCCCCGGGCUCAACCUGGGAACUGCAUUCGAAACUGGCAGGCUAGAGUCUUGUAGAGGGGGGUAGAAUUCCAGGUGUAGCGGUGAAAUGCGUAGAGAUCUGGAGGAAUACCGGUGGCGAAGGCGGCCCCCUGGACAAAGACUGACGCUCAGGUGCGAAAGCGUGGGGAGCAAACAGGAUUAGAUACCCUGGUAGUCCACGCCGUAAACGAUGUCGAUUUGGAGGUUGUGCCCUUGAGGCGUGGCUUCCGGAGCUAACGCGUUAAAUCGACCGCCUGGGGAGUACGGCCGCAAGGUUAAAACUCAAAUGAAUUGACGGGGGCCCGCACAAGCGGUGGAGCAUGUGGUUUAAUUCGAUGCAACGCGAAGAACCUUACCUGGUCUUGACAUCCACAGAACUUUCCAGAGAUGGAUUGGUGCCUUCGGGAACUGUGAGACAGGUGCUGCAUGGCUGUCGUCAGCUCGUGUUGUGAAAUGUUGGGUUAAGUCCCGCAACGAGCGCAACCCUUAUCCUUUGUUGCCAGCGGUUAGGCCGGGAACUCAAAGGAGACUGCCAGUGAUAAACUGGAGGAAGGUGGGGAUGACGUCAAGUCAUCAUGGCCCUUACGACCAGGGCUACACACGUGCUACAAUGGCAUAUACAAAGAGAAGCGACCUCGCGAGAGCAAGCGGACCUCAUAAAGUAUGUCGUAGUCCGGAUUGGAGUCUGCAACUCGACUCCAUGAAGUCGGAAUCGCUAGUAAUCGUAGAUCAGAAUGCUACGGUGAAUACGUUCCCGGGCCUUGUACACACCGCCCGUCACACCAUGGGAGUGGGUUGCAAAAGAAGUAGGUAGCUUAACCUUCGGGAGGGCGCUACCACUUUG